GAUGAAGAACGCAGCGAAAUGCGAUACGUAAUGUGAAUUGCAGAAUUCAGUGAAUCAUCGAAUCUUUGAACGCAUAUUGCGCUCUCUGGUAUUCCGGAGAGCAUGCUUGUUUGAGUAUCAGUGAACACCUCAACUUCCAUAUCUUUUUUGAAAUGGGAGUUGGACUUGAGUGAUCCCAACGCUUUUCCUCACCGAAAAGUGGCGGGUUACUUGAAAUGCAGGUGCAGCUGGACUUUUCUCUGAGCUAUAAGCAUAUCUAUUUAGUCUGCCUAAAAAACAGAUUAUUACCUUUGCUGCAGCUAACAUAAAGGAGAUUAGUUCUUGUGCUGACUGAUGCAGGAUUCACAAAGACAGGCUUCGGCCGACUUUGUAAACUCGAUCUCAAAUCAAGUAAGACUACCCGCUGAACUUAAGCAUAUCAAUAAGCGGAGGA
rnacentral:misc_RNA from 1 species